UACAGAGGGUGCAAGCGUUAAUCGGAAUUACUGGGCGUAAAGCGUGCGUAGACGGUUAUGUAAGUCGGGUGUGAAAGCCCCGGGCUCAACCUGGGAAUUGCAUUCGAGACUGCAUAGCUAGGGUGCGGAAGAGGGAAGCGGAAUUUCCGGUGUAGCGGUGAAAUGCGUAGAUAUCGGAAGGAACACCAGUGGCGGAAAGCGGCUCCUGGUCCAGCACCGACGUCAGGCACGAAAGCGUGGGGAGCAAACAGG
rnacentral:rRNA from 1 species